rnacentral:lncRNA from 1 species
CCCCCCAACCUUUUUCUUUUCUUCUCUCUCUUCUCUUUCCCCCUCUCUCGGCCGAAGCCCCCAUCCCUUCUUCUCUUCUUCUUCUUCUUCUCCACCACCCCUCGCCGCUUCACCCACCACCGCCCCUCGCCGCUUCACCCACCACCACACCGCCGCCCCCACGCCCUACUCACCACCAUCUCUUGGCCACUGAACCACCACCACCCACCGCUCGUCCGAUGAGCCAUCUCGCCGUUGAGCCCGACGAGCUAUCGCGCCGCCCCUCGCCGCCGUGAGCGAGGGCACGGCUCUCGAGCCCCUCGCCUCUGGCGGCAGCGGAGGACGGAGCGCUCGGGGUUAAGGCCGCGAGGGGGCUCGGGUUCAGGCGCC